rnacentral:rRNA from 1 species
GUGGGGAAUAUUGGACAAUGGGCGCAAGCCUGAUCCAGCCAUGCCGCGUGAGUGAUGAAGGCCUUAGGGUUGUAAAGCUCUUUUGUCCGGGAAGAUAAUGACUGUACCGGAAGAAUAAGCCCCGGCUAACUUCGUGCCAGCAGCCGCGGUAAUACGAAGGGGGCUAGCGUUGUUCGGAAUCACUGGGCGUAAAGCGCACGUAGGCGGACCAUUAAGUCAGGGGUGAAAGCCUGGAGCUCAACUCCAGAACUGCCUUUGAUACUGAUGGUCUCGAGUAUGGAAGAGGUUGGUGGAACUGCGAGUGUAGAGGUGAAAUUCGUAGAUAUUCGGAAAAACACCAGUGGCGAAGGCGACUCACUGGCCCGUUACUGACGCUGAGGCGCGAAAGCGUGGGGAGCAAACAGGAUUAGAAACCCCUGUAGUCC